AUGAAAUAUGAAAUUUUAUUAAAAUAAAAAGGGGUGAAAAGAACAAAGUUUUGUCCAUCUUUGUUCAUCAUAGCUGAAAGUUAGAGAAGAGAAAGGAGAGGAGAAAGCUCUUGAGUAUUCGGUCAUUAGGAGGAGGAAAAUUGAAGGAAAUCCCCAACCAUAAUGGGCUUGGAGCUGUGAGAGAAUUCAGAGUGGCCACCCGUUCUGAAAGUUUAAUUUUCUUCUGGUGAACUGGACAUCCGUUUAAUUACGUUUGAGGUUUUGGGCUUUUAAAUGUAAUAAGGCCGCUUAUUUAUUUUUGAUGGUUUUUAUAUGUUUUAUUAAGAUAGGUAAUAUUUAUAUUUAACUGUUGAAAUUGGAUAGCUUUUGUAACACCCCGUACCCGAGACCGUUUCCGGAGUCGAACACGAGGUGUUAAAGGACUUAAUUCAUUAAUUAAACAGCUCAUACAAUUCAUUUUAAAA